UACGAAGGGAGCGAGCGUUGUUCGGAAUCACUGGGCUUAAAGCGUGCGUAGGCGGGCAGGAAAGUCAGAAGUGAAAGCCCCGGGCUUAACCCGGGAACUGCUUUUGAAACUUCCUGUCUAGAAACCGAGAGAGGUUAGCGGAAUAUCCAGUGUAGAGGUGAAAUUCGCAGAUAUUGGAUGGAACACCAGUGGCGAAGGCGGCUAACUGGCUCGGUAUUGACGCUGAGGCACGAAAGCGUGGGUAGCAAACAGG
rnacentral:rRNA from 1 species